GACAGAGGGUGCAAGCGUUGUUCGGAAUUAUUGGGCGUAAAGGGCGCGUAGGCGGCCUUGUAAGUCAGAUGUGAAAUCCCAGGGCUUAACCCUGGAAGUGCAUCUGAUACUGCAUGGCUUGAGUCCUGGAGAGGGUGGUGGAAUUCCCAGUGUAGAGGUGAAAUUCGUAGAUAUUGGGAGGAACACCGGUGGCGAAGGCGACCACCUGGACAGAGACUGACGCUGAGGCGCGAAAGCGUGGGGAGCAAACAGG
rnacentral:rRNA from 1 species